rnacentral:lncRNA from 1 species
UUCUGACGGUCUUUUCAUGACAGAUUUCCGUCGCGGAUCACUUUUAAUGGUACAAAUCUAUCAUCAAAAGACCGUCAUACAAUGUUCUUUUUCUUGUAGUGCUCUCAUGUCUUGGGAUGUUUGGAAAAACUCUUUCAAGCUCGUGGGUUUCUCUCGUUGGCUCUUGGGUUGGCUUUCGUAAGCUUGUAGGUUCCUCUCUUGAGCUUUCUGGUUGCUCUCGUGAGCUCUUUAGUAAAUUUUUGAAGCUCCUUGGUUGAUCUUGUAAGGCCUUUGGUUAUUUUAAAAAAAAUAGUGAUUCUCAAUGUCGAGGUGAAAAAUGGAUGGCUCGGAUUAUUAUAACACCAUGUAUUAUAACACACAGUAGUAUUCAGGUGCGUCGUACAGUGCGAAUGUUAUAUGUGUCAAGUUGAUUAUGUCUAUUAGAUCGACUUUGCGUCCUACAUGUGUUAGUGUCUUUUGCAGUAUAUUAUUUUACGUCGUACAUGUGUUAGUGUCUUGUGCAGUAUAUUAUUUUAAUCAUUGGAUUAAAUUAUAAUGGUCACGAUUUAAUGACAAACGACCG